rnacentral:rRNA from 1 species
GCUCGCGGCCUAUCAGCUAGUUGGUGGGGUAACGGCCCACCAAGGCGACGACGGGUAGCCGGCCUGAGAGGGUGACCGGCCACACUGGGACUGAGACACGGCCCAGACUCCUACGGGAGGCAGCAGUGGGGAAUAUUGGACAAUGGGCGAAAGCCUGAUCCAGCAACGCCGCGUGAGGGAUGACGGCCUUCGGGUUGUAAACCUCUUUCAGCACCGACGAAGCGAAAGUGACGGUAGGUGCAGAAGAAGGACCGGCCAACUACGUGCCAGCAGCCGCGGUAAUACGUAGGGUCCGAGCGUUGUCCGGAAUUAUUGGGCGUAAAGGGCUCGUAGGCGGUUUGUCGCGUCGGGAGUGAAAACUCAGGGCUCAACCCUGAGCGUGCUUCCGAUACGGGCAGACUAGAGGUAUGCAGGGGAGAACGGAAUUCCUGGUGUAGCGGUGGUUUGCCCAGAUAUCAGGAGGAACACCGGUGGCGAAGGCGGUUCUCUG